CUUGAGUUUUUCAAUUGUUUUUUCUACAGCACCGGAUACUAUAGCAAAACCAAUCGCUUCUGAUGACACCACCGACAGUAACGGAAUGCGCAGAAUAACCGUGACUAAACCUGAUGAAAGCAAUGGUUUACUGAGCUGUUUAUUUAUCAUUGUAAAUGAUGGAUCGUCUGGUGAAAACACAAAUUUCAACAUGGGGAAUUUGAUCAAUGCACAGAGCUCACCACAGCAUAUAUCGCCGUAGCGUUGCCAGUUUACAGAUUUACUGGCGAUAAACAAGUCGUCAAUCUUGGCGAUGGUUCGAAAUCCUCUUGUAACGUCACUCAAACAAUCGAUGCCUUGUCCAAGAAGCGAAGGUGGCGGAGAAAUGUCAGAGAGAACACAAUAUUUAUUGGGCAAAAUCGAAAACUGGGCAAAGAAAAAUCUUACAAUCUAUUCGUCGUGUCAACAACGCCUUGUGGAAAUGAUAUUUGCUUGCGGUCGAGUUCGUCAAUACUAUUGAAAACAAAGAAAUCGUUCGAGUUCAACAUCGUCAGUUUCGUAAUUGGUUUUCUUAUUCCUUCGAUCUUCUGCGUAGUCUUUGGCUUAAUCAUAUACAAACAGAUGAAAAAGAUAAAGAAGUUGGAGAAAAAUGCAGAAGCGAAAGAACAUAAUUACGAAACUAUACAGGAAAAAGCAACUUUCUCCAACGACCCAGUUUCUCAACCAUCAUAUUCGAACGUGCUACAGGAAACCGCCGGUUACGAACAAGCUCUACCUGCGACAACUAAGCAAACACAAGUAGAAUCAGCUUACGAAACUUACAACGCCUAAUGAACUUCAGCUAUGAAGUAUCUACUCGAACAUCAUAAAAUGGAAAAAAACAUGUUGAAUUUCCUAAAAAAUUCAACAAUCAUGUUGGUGUCGAUCGACAUUCCUAUGUUACACUCGGACCAAGAAUUUAUUGGUCUCUAUUCACUUGCUCACUC